UCACACCUGACCGUGAAAAGCAGCUGGUAGGCGAACUCUCGCUGCUUGGAGGAAACACAGUGAAAUCUUCCGUGAGACGGAUCAUGUCCCACAUACUCGCAGACGAACUUGUGCAGCUCUACAGUUGGGAGGGGCGAAAAGGAAAGCUCAAGUUCCUGGAGCUCAAGUUUCCCAGCAUAAUCCUGCGUGCACUGCACACACACAAGAAACUGUCAAAGGCUACAGAAUUUGAAGUAGAAGCAACAAUCAAGGAGUGGCUGC